GGUGCUCCUUAUCGGUUCUUGAUAUUCGUUUACGGUCUUCACUAGGGCAUUUGGUGCUCCUUCUCGGUUCAUGAUAUUCGUUUACGGUCUUCACUAGGGCAUUUGGUGCUCCUUCUCGGUUCAUGAUAUUCGUUUACGGUCUUCACUAGGGCAUUUGGUACUGGGCUUCCCACUUUCUACUGAUCGAUCCAUACUCACUUGCGUGCACCUAGCCUAGGAAGGUUUCCUAUGGCUUCCCAUCUUUCUACUGAUCGAUCCAUACUCACUUGCGUGCACCUAGCCUAGGAAGGUUUCCUUGGGCUUCCCAUCUUUCUACUGAUCGAUCCAUACUCACUUGCGUGCACCUAGCCUAGGAAGGUUUCCUUGGGCUUCCCAUCUUUCUACUGAUCGAUCCAUACUCACUUGCGUGCACCUAGCCUAGGAAGGUUUCCUUGGGCUUCCCAUCUUUCUACUGAUCGAUCCAUACUCACUUGCGUGCACCUAGCCUAGGAAGGUUUCCUUGGGCUUCCCAUCUUUCUACUGAUCGAUCCAUACUCACUUGCGUGCACCUAGCCUAGGAAGGUUUCCUAGGGCUUCCCAUCUUUCUACUGAUCGAUCCAUACUCACUUGCGUGCACCUAGCCUAGGAAGGUUUCCUUGGGCUUCCCAUCUUUCUACUGAUCGAUCCAUACUCACUUGCGUGCACCUAG